UAGGUGGUACAGACUGGACAUAAUUGUUAAGAGGAAGAAAGAAGAGAAGGAAUAGAAUCAAACCAGAGAGACAGGACCCAUACUGGCUUAAAAGGCUAAUUUUGUCAAAGUAUCUUGAAGCUGUAUUUACUUCAGUGUUGAUCCACAAGCACUCUCUCAGCCUCCAGAUAGAGUUGCUGGCUAUGGCUUUGUGAGUAAAAGCAACUGAAAGAGAAAUCCGUUCUGAUUCUAAAUAUGCAUCAAAGUGGCGAGACCCAGACCAUCUUAUCUAUUUAAAUGGAAGAUCGUUUUGAAAGAUUUUGUUUUUAGUUUGAGGCUUAACCUCAAAGAAACAGAAUUAAUAGAAGAAGGAAAUGAUCCUGGGAGAUCCUCAAUGCAGUAAUGAAUUCAACAUUCUUCAAUCAAAUUUAAAAUUUAAUUAUAGCCUACUUACCUGUGGUGACCCUGGAUUCUGUACAACUGAUUUGUUGAUACAGAAGAGAGUCAUGCAAACUACAGAAAUCCACCCAAAACCGAGAGAAGGAGAGUAUCUGUUUUCAGAGGAGCUGUCUGCUUUGGGAGGAAGUUCCAGAAGUGAGCCUCAGGAAUUACAACAUUAAUUGAGAAACUGAAUGAUUAAAAUUGUAGUAACAAAUA
rnacentral:lncRNA from 1 species